rnacentral:rRNA from 1 species
UGCCUACGGGAGGCAGCAGUGAGGAAUAUUGGUCAAUGGGCGGGAGCCUGAACCAGCCAAGUCGCGUGAGGGAAGACGGUCCUACGGAUUGUAAACCUCUUUUGCCGGGGAGCAACGGGGUCCUUGCGAGGGCCCGAUGAGAGUACCCGGAGAAAAAGCAUCGGCUAACUCCGUGCCAGCAGCCGCGGUAAUACGUAGGUGGCAAGCGUUAUCCGGAUUUACUGGGUGUAAAGGGCGUGUAGGCGGGAGAGCAAGUCAGACGUGAAAUUCCAGGGCUCAACCCUGGAACUGCGUUUGAA